UACAGAGGUCCCGAGCGUUGUUCGGAUUUAUUGGGCGUAAAGGGUGCGUAGGCGGCGGAGUAAGUUGGGUGUGAAAUCCCGAGGCUCAACCUCGGAAUUGCAUUCAAUACUGCUUCGCUCGAGUACUGGAGAGGAGGCUGGAAUUUACGGUGUAGCAGUGAAAUGCGUAGAUAUCUGGAGGAACACCGGUGGCGAAGGCGGCAUCCUGGACUGGUCCUGACACUCAGGAGCGAAAGCGUGGGGAGCGAGUCCGG
rnacentral:rRNA from 1 species